rnacentral:rRNA from 1 species
GAUGAACGCUGGCGGCGUGCUUAACACAUGCAAGUCGAACGGGAAAUAUUUCAUUGAGACUUCGGUGGAUUUGAUCUAUUUCUAGUGGCGGACGGGUGAGUAACGCGUGGGUAACCUGCCUUAUACAGGGGGAUAACAGUCAGAAAUGGCUGCUAAUACCGCAUAAGCGCACAGAGCUGCAUGGCUCAGUGUGAAAAACUCCGGUGGUAUAAGAUGGACCCGCGUUGGAUUAGCUGGUUGGUGGGGUAACGGCCCACCAAGGCGACGAUCCAUAGCCGGCCUGAGAGGGUGAACGGCCACAUUGGGACUGAGACACGGCCCAGACUCCUACGGGAGGCAGCAGUGGGGAAUAUUGCACAAUGAGGGAAACCCUGAUGCAGCGACGCCGCGUGAAGGAAGAAGUAUCUCGGUAUGUAAACUUCUAUCAGCAGGGAAGAUAGUGACGGUAC